rnacentral:rRNA from 1 species
GAUGAACGCUGGCGGCGUGCUUAACACAUGCAAGUCGAACGCUGAAGCUCCCAGCUUGCUGGGGGUGGAUGAGUGGCGAACGGGUGAGUAUCACGUGAGGAACCUGCCCUGAACUUUGGGAUAAGCCCGGGAAACUGGGUCUAAUACCGGAUAGGACUAGCCAUCGCAUGGUGGUUGGUGGAAAGCUUUUGCGGUUUGGGAUGGUCUCGCGGCCUAUCAGCUUGUUGGUGGGGUAAUGGCCUACCAAGGCUUUGACGGGUAGCCGGCCUGAGAGGGUGACCGGCCACACUGGGACUGAGACACGGCCCAGACUCCUACGGGAGGCAGCAGUGGGGGAUAUUGCACAAUGGGGGAAACCCUGAUGCAGCGACGCCGCGUGAGGGAUGACGGCCUUCGGGUUGUAAACCUCUUUCAGUUGGGAAGAAGCCCCUUUUUGGGGUGACGGUACCUUCAGAAGAAGCACCGGCUAACUACGUGCCAGCAGCCGCGGUAAUACGUAGGGUGCGAGCGUUAUCCGGAAUUAUUGGGCGUAAAGAGCUCGUAGGCGGUUUGUCACGUCUGCUGUGAAAGCCCAGGGCUUAACCCUGGGUUUGCAGUGGGUACGGGCAGGCUGGAGUGCAGUAGGGGAGACUGGAAUUCCUGGUGUAGCGGUGAAAUGCGCAGAUAUCAGGAGGAACACCGAUGGCGAAGGCAGGUCUCUGGGCUGUUACUGACGCUGAGGAGCGAAAGCAUGGGGGAGCGAACAGG